UGGCACAGGUGACACAGGGAUAGGUGACACAGGGACACGUGACACAGGGAUAGGUGACACAGGGAUAGGUGACACGGGGAUAGGUGACACGGGGAUAGGUGACGCAGGGAUAGGUGACACAGGGAUAGGUGACACAGGGAUAGGUGACACGGGGAUAGGUGACGCAGGGAUAGGUGACGCAGGGAUAGGUGACACAGGGACACGUGACACAGGGACAGGUGACACAGGGAUAGGUGACACAGGGAUAGGUGACGCAGGGAUAGGUGACGCAGGGAUAGGUGACACAGGGACAGCUCCCUGGCUGCUCCCACGGUAUGGAUCCCGCUCCCAGACCUUCCUACAGCCGCCGGAGAAACCAUCUCUGCGUGAGCAGCUGGCACAAGCCCCGAGGACGGGCUUUGGCUGCCCGGGAUCGGGAGCUCCCUGCUCUUCCCAAGCUUUUCACCUGCCUGCUUUGGGAGCCAGCCUUUGGAACUGGCGCAGCGUUUGUCCCGUUGUGGCAGAGCGGCUCCUCCGGACGCACACGCCUGUAGAUAACCGAUGUGUCCUGUGGAAUGUGGCGCUUUCCCAGUGGUUUUGGGUGUGUACAAACCUGGUGUAGCUCAGUGCUGUACUUUUGGCGCGUCCUUCACUUCGUGAUUUGCUUCUCAAGACUCGUUGCAUCGUCGGUGUGGAAAAUAGACCAGUAUCAACCUUAGCUCUUCGGUGGUGUAGAAGUGUUUAAGUGUGGUUUGCCUCACAUACUGAUCCGUAUUUGGCAGCUAAUGGCGUUAAGUGACCAUGAGUUCUCUUUGUCUGGGUUGGAAAAUAAAAGGUUUUAUUGUAUCCGCAUGUAUUUUAAACUUUUUGGAUAAUUCCAUCGACCUGUGAUGACAGCACAUGUAAAAAACGACCUUUUCCUUUUAUUCAGAAGUUAUAUUUGCUGUGGUAGCACUUGUUGUUGGCACUGAUGGUAGUGAUUUCACAUCCUGUUUUGUACAUCAGGUUUCAUGAUUACGGUGUUUGAGUUUGUACAAUUGUUUAUGUAAAAAUGAUUUGGUCUGAAGAGAUGCUGUGUAUUCACUUCUGAUCCUAGACAAGAUCCUACUGGUAAUACUGUUAAGUAGUUACAACUGUACCAGACUUAUUUUUUACAGAGCUUUACAUGCCUUUAUUUAUUCUUUUAUCGGACCAUCCAAACCAUGUACUCUGUAGUUCAGAAUUUGUAGACCAGUUUCACAAAUCAACUUAAGGUAUUGUGGCAAAGCUUCGAAUAAAUGUUUACUGAGACUUUGCA